rnacentral:rRNA from 1 species
UACGUAGGGUGCGAGCGUUGUCCGGAAUUACUGGGCGUAAAGGGCGCGUAGGCGGCCGAUCAAGUCAGAUGUGAAAGUCCUGGGCUUAACCUGGGGACUGCAUUUGAUACUGAUUGGCUUGAAUGCAGGAGAGGAUAGCGGAAUUCCCAGUGUAGAGGUGAAAUUCGUAGAUAUUGGGAAGAACACCGGUGGCGAAGGCGGCUAUCUGGACUGUGAUUGACGCUGAGGCGCGAAAGCCAGGGGAGCAAACGGG